rnacentral:misc_RNA from 1 species
GACGAACCGGACAAACGUUAUUCGGAAUCAUUGGGCUUAAAGGGUGCGUAGGCGGUGCGGAAAGUUGGAUGUGAAAGCUCUCGGCUCAACCGAGGAAUUGCGUCCAAAACUACCGCACUCGAGGAAGACAGGGGUGAGCGGAACUCACGGUGGAGCGGUGAAAUGCGUUGAUAUCGUGAGGAACACCGGUGGCGUAAGCGGCUCACUGGGUCUUUUCUGACGCUGAGGCACGAAAGCUAGGGGAGCGAACGGG